rnacentral:rRNA from 1 species
GAUGAACGCUGGCGGCGUGCCUAAUACAUGCAAGUCGAGCGAACAGACGAGGAGCUUGCUCCUCUGACGUUAGCGGCGGACGGGUGAGUAACACGUGGAUAACCUACCUAUACGACUGGGAUAACUUCGGGAAACCGGAGCUACUACCGGAUAAUAUAUUGAACCGCAUGGUUCAAUAGUGAAAGACGGUUUUGCUGUCACUUAUAGAUGGAUCCGCGCCGCAUUAGCUAGUUGGUAAGGUAAAGGCUUACCAAGGCGACGAUGCGUAGCCGACCUGAGAGGGUGAUCGGCCACACUGUAACUGAGACACGGUCCAGACUCCUACGGGAGGCAGCAGUAGGGAAUCUUCCGCAAUGGGCGAAAGCCUGACGGAGCAACGCCGCGUGAGUGAUGAAGGUCUUCGGAUCGUAAAACUCUGUUAUUAGGGAAGAACAAAUGUGUAAGUAACUAUGCACGUCUUGACGGUACCUAAUCAGAAAGCCACGGCUAACUACGUG